GGCCAUAGCUCAGUGGUAGAGCACAUGCUUUGCAUGCAAAAGAUCCUAGGUUCAGUCCCCAGCAUCUCCA